UCUCUCUGGCUUGGGAUGUCUUCUCUUCUCCAUUUCUCACCCGCAAAACCUCCACAAAACCCCUCUAUUUCACCUUCCCAAUCCAAAUGGAGCGGCCUCCGCAAACUGCUCCCCCGUCAUCCUCCCCACCCCAUAACCCGAAACCUAAUCUCAAAACCCCCAUUACUUAUCUUCUCCAAUCUCAAAGAACCACCUUUCCCGCUGUUCCACCACCACCCCACUCCUCUCUCAAACAACUCCUCCUUCUCCACCGUCACCUACGCCGGACGCAGCAAGAAAAAGCCCGGAGGCCCCUCUCCCGGCCGCAUCGAGGGAAGCGGCGAGCUCCGCCGCGUCGCCAAGGAAAACGCCCGCCGCCGCUCCCGGCGAAUUGCCGAAAACCGCUUCUUCCGCCGCUCCCGCUCCGCCGCCGAGCAAGCCGACUCCUUUACUGAGGAUGAACUGGAGAUGAUUGGCCUCGGCUACGAUCGCGCCGUCCGAUUCAUGUCGAAGGAUCACCCCAUGCUUCGACACCCCCAUGACUGGUACAAGUACGGCCGAUACGGCCCUUACUCCUGGAGAGGAAUUGUCGUCGGCCCCCCCAUCCGCGGCCGCUUCACCGACGAGCGCGUCAGCAUCAUCGGCGAGGUUCGCGAUCACGAAGAGUUUGAGAAGAUUGAACAGUUCGAGAUGGCCAAUGACUACUCCCGCCAUGUCCUGGAUCUCAAUCCCUCCGUUGGCCGUCGCCUUUACUGGGUUUUUGUCCGACAUCCAAAAUGGAGGUCCAGCGAGCUCCCAUGGCAGCAGUGGACUCUGGUCUCCGAGGUUGCGGUUGAGGCCGGCGAGAAGGAUUGGAUUGAUAAAUGGAGCUUGAUGGGUCGAUUAGGGAACAGAAGUCGAGCAUAUGUCACUCAGUGCGCAGCUUGGAUGAGACCUGAUAUCAUUUAUGUUAAGAAGCCGCUUUAUCAGUGCCGUUUUGAGCCCCAAGACGAGUUUUUUAAGCAGCUAUGGCCGCUGCUGGAUCCGAACACAGAGAACCAGUUUAAAUUCGAGCUGAGGAGAGAGGAAAAAGGUAGGGUUUUUGUGGAGGACUGCACCUACUUUGGUGGGCUGUGUAAGAUUGUCAAGAUUAGUUCUAAAGCCUAUGUGGAUGAUGUGGUGAAUGCUUAUCAGAAGUUGAGUGAGGAAGGAAAAUCACAGUGCUUGGAGUUCUUACUGAGGAACCAUCCAGUGGAGUUACUUCACCCUUACACUAAGGAAUGGAAGGCGAAGUUAGAGGAGAUGGAGUUGGGUUGUGAUGCGCCUGAUGAGAGUGAUGAUGAUGGUGGUGGCAACGAAGAAGAAGAAAUUGCUGAAUGGAUUGAGGAUGAUGACUCUGGUGGUGAUUAUGAAGAUGAUGAGGAGGAGGGGGAGGAGGAUUAUGUUUUUGAGGCUUCAGGAGGGUAUGAUGAAGUGAUUGAUGCGGGUGAAGAAGAAGAAGAUAAUGAUGAAGAAGAGAGAAUAGAUCCUGAAGAAACUCGGGAAUACUGGGAUGAGCAAUGGGAGAAGGCGCUGAGGAGCUCGCAGACAAUGGAGGAAAUGGUGAAAAAGAGGCUUGAUGCAUCUGAAAAGAGCUACAAGAGGAAGAUGGAGGAGGCGAGUAUGAAAGAGGACGAAAACUAUGAAUCAAUUCAGAGCAAUGUGAAUGCAGAAUUGGAGCAGAUUAAAGCGGAAUGGAAGAAAGAGGAGUUCAAAUGGGCCAAAAGGAAGGUAAAGAAAGGAAAGUUGCCUCCUGAGCUGUUCCUAAAAUCUGCUGUCAGGCCGUUUACCUACCGAAAUCUUGUUAAAGAGAUUGUUUUGAUGAGACAUGCUAUUAUCGAUGGGGAUAUUAGUUUAAAAACCUGAGUAAAGCACAAUUUUUGUGGAUUUUUUUGUUAUUAAUGGAGAAGAACACGCAUUUGUUAUCUGGCUGCUUCAAAUCAUGUGGAACAGAAAUUUUGAAUCGGAUUUAUUAAAGUAGAAGCUACUGAAAAUCUGAUUGCUUGCUUAUCAGUGUGUUGAGUUAGGAAAACAUAUAUUAAGGGCUCGUUUGGCGCCACAUUUUUCAGGCGGCGCGGUCAGAAAAUGCACAUUGACCUGUUUCGUUAUCGCGUCACAGCGGCAUUGUUUUGAAUUUUUUUUUUAAAACGCGGCCACAGGUUUGACUACACGGCCCGCAUUUCUCCUUUCUCAACCGCAAACACAUUUACCCUCAUGGCCUCUUCUCAUGUUACCGGUCUUUUUCAACCCUGCUCCCUCUCCCGCAAUUCUUCUGCCCUGGGUAUAUAUCUCUCAUGGAUCCGUGGCUCCGGUGGCUAUUUUCGGUUGUCCAGGUGGUGCUCCGGCUAUAUUCCUCGUUGGAGGUGUUGUUUGUCUCCACAGGUCCAGGUGGUGCUCCGCUAUAGCUCGGCCUCCACCGAGAUGC